rnacentral:rRNA from 1 species
AUGGCGGACGGCGCCAGCAGCAGCGGCGCCCGGGCCGGCGGACGCGGGGGCGGCGGCGGCGGCGGCGGCGAGUCGGUGGUGAUUGACUACGGCCGGCGGCGCACGACCUGCGGCUACUGCCGAUCCACCGGCCCCACGAGCAUCUCCCACGGUCUGUGGGCCAACAGUCUGAAAGCUGAUGACUAUCAAGCUCUUCUUGACCGUGGAUGGAGGAGGUCUGGCUGUUUUCUCUACAAGCCUGAGAUGGAACGGACAUGCUGUCCGGCAUAUACUAUACGUCUGAAGGCAAGUGAUUUCAUUUGUUCCAAAGAGCAAGACCGUGUACUUAAAAGGAUGCAAAGGUUUCUUGAUGGAGAGCUUGACCCACAGGUUGGAAGUCCACAGUGCAAGACUAACCCUACAAAACGUUCACUCAAUGAACCUAUGAAUUCACCAACCUUGAAAGUAUCCAGGGUAUCAGCAUAUGAAUUUCAAACAGCCACGGGUCCAAGUUUAGACAAAGAAGAUGAGUUUAUUAGUUUCCUGUCUAGCAAAAUCAAUGAGGCAAUAGGUACGUGCUUCCAAGGUGGAAUAGUAGGUUCUGAUGUUGAACUCCCUAAAGCUGUUGUGAAGACUGUUAAACCUCAAGUAAAAAAGAAAGUAGGAGGAGCAGCACAAGAAAAGAAAGGAGGAGCAGUGCAAGAUUUGGUGUACUCAUGCAAUGUAAGUUUCCAACUGGCUGCAGUAAUUAAACGUGCAUUGCCUGAAGAAAAAUGUGCAGUAUUAGGGGACCUUUCUCCAAACUGUAUUGCAGAAAGGCUGGUGUUGACAAUGGAGCAUCAUGGAGAAAUAGCUGGUUUUGCAGUGAAAGCCUGUAAUGGCCAUCUGAACUUCUAUUCAGCCACUAUUCAGCCAAUUCAGAAUCAUACUAGCAUUGAUGCAUCUGCACAAGCUUCUUCAGAUAGGUCGACUAGCUCAAAACAAAGCUCUGUGAACAAAAAUGAUGCAAGACAUAAUAAAAAAGCAAGAAAGCUGGAAUUUAAGAUGGCAAAAUCACAUUUUGACCCUGAGGAGUUUGCUUUGUACCAAAGAUAUCAGACAAAAGUUCACAAGGAAAAGACAGUUACAGAAAGCUCAUACAAGAGAUUUCUGGUCGAUACCCCAAUUGUACCUAUUCCCCCAAGGAGUGGUGAUAAUACAGUUCCGCCAUGCGGUUUUGGUUCAUUUCAUCAGCAGUAUAGAAUUGAUGGAAAACUUGUGGCAGUUGGUGUAGUUGAUAUCCUUCCUAAAUGUCUCUCAAGCAAAUAUUUGUUCUGGGAUCCUGACCUUGCUUUCCUAUCUCUUGGAAAGUAUACAGCUCUAAAGGAAAUAGAUUGGGUCAAGACAACACAGAAAAGUUGCCCCAGCCUUGAGUACUAUUACCUUGGUUAUUAUAUACAUUCCUGCAACAAGAUGAGAUACAAAGCUGCAUAUCGACCAUCAGAACUUCUCUGUCCAGUCCGUUAUGAGUGGGUGCGCUAUGAUGCUGCAAAACCCUUACUAGAUAAGAGCCUGUAUUCUGUUAUAUCUGAUUUCUCCACCAUGGCGCAAGAUGAAAUCCCCCAACCACACGCUUGUGGUCCUUGUGAUGGAUCUUCAGCACAAAACGACCACAGUGAGACUCCUAUUGAUGAGGAUGAUGAGGACUCAGAGUCAGACUAUGAUGAAUCAGACAUGAUGGUUGAUGAAGAGAUGGUUCAUUCAGAGUCUAAAGGUGAUACAGCUGAGGAAUGUUCCGACGUAGAUGUUGAAAACGUUAUCAUGGGCCUGAGCGGCUCUCGGGUUAAAUACAAGGAACUUCACAGCGUUGUCGGGCCAAUCGACAGGAGACACCUGAGUGAGCUGGAAAGGCAGCUGAGCAGAUACGCGAAAGUCGUUGGGAAGGAGCUGUCUGACCGUAUCGUCUAUUCCCUUAGCUGA